AUAUACACCUAGCGCCGGGUUCAGGGUGAUCAAGAAUGCUCUGAUCCUUCGGUGAGAGGCUCACCAUUGCACCUCAGUGGAUUGAAACUUCACGACGGACCCUAAUCGGGUGGUGCACUUGGGCGUGUAGUUUUUGUCAC
rnacentral:snRNA from 15 species